rnacentral:rRNA from 1 species
AGCUUGCUUCCCGCUGACGAGCGGCGGACGGGUGAGUAAUGCAUAGGAAUCUGCCCGAUAGUGGGGGAUAACCUGGGGAAACUCAGGCUAAUACCGCAUACGUCCUACGGGAGAAAGGGGGCUUCGGCUCCCGCUAUUGGAUGAGCCUAUGUCGGAUUAGCUGGUUGGUGAGGUAAUGGCUCACCAAGGCAACGAUCCGUAGCUGGUUUGAGAGGAUGAUCAGCCACAUCGGGACUGAGACACGGCCCGAACUCCUACGGGAGGCAGCAGUGGGGAAUAUUGGACAAUGGGCGCAAGCCUGAUCCAGCCAUGCCGCGUGUGUGAAGAAGGCCUUCGGGUUGUAAAGCACUUUCAGCGAGGAAGAACGCCUGUCGGUUAAUACCCGGCAGGAAAGACAUCACUCGCAGAAGAAGCACCGGCUAACUCCGUGCCAGCAGCCGCGGUAAUACGGAGGGUGCAAGCGUUAAUCGGAAUUACUGGGCGUAAAGCGCGCGUAGGUGGCUUGAUAAGCCGGUUGUGAAAGCCCCGGGCUCAACCUGGGAACGGCAUCCGGAACUGUCAGGCUAGAGUGCAGGAGAGGAAGGUAGAAUUCCCGGUGUAGCGGUGAAAUGCGUAGAGAUCGGGAGGAAUACCAGUGGCGAAGGCGGCCUUCUGGACUGACACUGACACUGAGGUGCGAAAGCGUGGGUAGCAAACAGGAUUAGAUACCCUGGUAGUCCACGCCGUAAACGAUGUCGACCAGCCGUUGGGUGCCUAGCGCACUUUGUGGCGAAGUUAACGCGAUAAGUCGACCGCCUGGG